GCUCUUCGUCCAUUGGUCAAGACAUCAGCCUUUGACGCUGAGGACGGGGGCCGAUCCCCCUCGAGAGCGCCA
rnacentral:tRNA from 2 species